UACAGAGGUCUCAAGCGUUGUUCGGAUUCAUUGGGCGUAAAGGGCUCGUAGGCGGCCAACUAAGUCAUACGUGAAAUCCCUCGGCUUAACCGGGGAACUGCGUCUGAUACUGGAUGGCUUGAGUUCGGGAGAGGGAUGCGGAAUUCCAGGUGUAGCGGUGAAAUGCGUAGAUAUCAGGAGGAACACCUGUGGCGAAAGCGGCUCACUGGACCAUAACUGACGCUGAUGCACGAAAGCUAGGGGAGCAAACAGG
rnacentral:rRNA from 1 species